AUCUUCUCAUUGAGCUCCUUUCUGUCAGCCAGUGGCAGUUUAAGGAUUCGCACGAGAAGAAGAGGAAAUUCACAUAACUAGCUCUUUUUUGGCCUCUUCUGAGGCACAUUUUGCUGUUUGUGAGACAUGG
ensembl:snoRNA SNORA75 Small nucleolar RNA SNORA75